rnacentral:rRNA from 1 species
UAAAUAGCCGCAGUACUCUGACUGUGCAAAGGUAGCAUAAUCAAUUGGCUUCUAAUUAAAGUCUGGAAUGAACGAACUCAUGGGUAGCAACUGUCUCUAAAAUAGUUUAUUAAAUUGAUCAAUAAGUGCAAAUACUUAUUCAAUUAUAAUAGACGAGAAGACCCUAGAAACUUAUAAUUAUUUUGUUGGGGCGACAGAAUUACAUAAAACUAAUUUUAUUUUACGGGACGUAAAACACCCACAAAAAGUUACUCUAGGGAUAACAGCAUAAUUUUA